CAAACCAGCCCGUGUCUGCGGUACUCGACAAAACAGAAGAAGGGAAGGGAAAAGAAAAAGGGGGAAAAACAAAAUCGUUAACGGUGGAAAAUUAUCGAGUAUCGAUUAGACCGAAUGGAAACGAUUGUAGUAACGAAAUGAUCAUAGAAUGGGCAGUACGAUCGUUUCACAAAUGGACACAUUGGAUGAGUGACUAGCUUAGAAUGGCCACACACGAACAGAAAUAAAGGUACGAUGCGAGCGGUCGAUAAUUAUUUAAAAUUUACUAUCAAUAUAGUACAUUGUUUGUCAUAUUAUACUAUGUACCUCUGCUAAUAAUAUUCUGUUUCUCGAUUCCGUAAACUGUCGGAUCCUAUUUUGACCACCAUCCAGUGCGAUACUUGCCCAUAAUUCAUCUCUCUCAAACAUAUCGAUUGGCGAUCGCAUUGGCAGCAUUUAAAAUCGAUUUUAAGCUUCGUACCACGCUCCGAACAGAGCGAACGAAUUCGGUCAGUCUUACUGUUCAAUUCCAUCCUAGCGCACACGAUUCGGUUCGUUCGGUCAUCAAGGUAACCGAAGUUGCUCGAGUGCCCACAAUUCGCGACCUGUAUCGAGCGUGACUUAUUCCACCUUUUUAUCCUGAUAUCCAUCCCUUCACCGUAUCCCACCAAGCGAUGGGUAACGCGCCAAACCCGAAGCAAUACACGAAGUACAGCAAAAACACGGCCGAGGUGCGGGUGAAGAAAUGCGUCCCGGUGCAACGGGGCAUGUUUCGGCUGGGUAGCGGCAAUCUCUUCUAUCUGAUACUGAUCAAAAUCUUUACCAUUCUCAACAACAUUGUCAACAAGUGUUUAUAGUGUUGUGCGUUUGUUUUAUCUGUAACUGUCGCGAAUUCAUUCCGUUCCCGAUCCGUUUCGAUACGACUGUAACGGAUGCUGGAUGCGGAACCAAAUCGUCCAAUGUUGUGUCCGUCCCAAAAUGUACCAACAUUUAAACCUUUCCUGCUUCAUCGUGUCGGUGAUCAUGAUGUGAUUUGUUUCUCAGAGCAGUCAGAAAUGAUCAGCUGCUGCCGGGAAAGGAAGAUCCCCAAACCAGAGCUACGGUGCCGAGGUAAAUUAUGAUCGAUGGCUAAUGGAUUGUGACUGGAUGCACAGCCAAGAGAAAUGCCAAGCAGCUUACGCUUCAUCUCCCGCUGUUCGGCCACCGAUCGGGUGCAGUCAAUGUGGUUCAGUGUUUGGCGCCAAAGUAUGCCCGGUGUUUAAUGCAACAUGUGGGCAGCCGUCUCUUCUGUCGGUGGAUGUGGUAUUUUCGUGUGUUUACUUUAGUGGAUAUAGAUUGAGCUAAGUGAACGAUAGGAACUACAUGUGACUGCUUAUUAGCAUAUGUGUUGUGUAAGGAAUUUUCCAACAAAUAUACAAGUACAAUCAUACGCGAUCACAGGCGAUCGAAGGUUUGA